GUGAGGAAUAUUGGUCAAUGGACGAGAGUCUGAACCAGCCAAGUCGCGUGAAGGAAGACGGUUCUAUGAAUUGUAAACUUCUUUUGUGCAGGAAUAAAGUGGGUUACGUGUAACCUUUUGUAUGUACUGUACGAAUAAGGAUCGGCUAACUCCGUGCCAGCAGCCGCGGUAAUACGGAGGAUCCGAGCGUUAUCCGGAUUUAUUGGGUUUAAAGGGUGCGUAGGUGGAUUGAUAAGUCAGCGGUGAAAGUUUGCAGCUUAACUGUAAAAUUGCCGUUGAAACUGUCGGUCUUGAGUGCAAAUGAGGUAGGCGGAAUGUUUUGUGUAGCGGUGAAAUGCUUAGAUAUAACACAGAACUCCGAUUGCGAAGGCAGCUUACUGGGAUGCAACUGACACUGAUGCACGAAAGCGUGAGUAUCAAACAGGAUUAGAAACCCGUGUAGUCC
rnacentral:rRNA from 1 species